ensembl:snRNA U6 U6 spliceosomal RNA
GUGCUUGCUUUGGCAGUACAUAUACUAAAAUUGGAAUGAUACAGAAAAGAUUAGCAAGGCCCCUGCACAAGGAUGACAUGCAAAUUCAUGAAGCAUUACAUAGUUUU